GGCCACGGAUGGGAAUCGAACCCACAAUGUUCCGCUUACCGGGCAGAUGCCAUGUCCACUAGGCUACCCUGGA
rnacentral:tRNA from 1 species